CCUACGGGUGGCAGCAGUGAGGAAUAUUGGUCAAUGGGCGCGAGCCUGAACCAGCCAAGUAGCGUGAAGGAUGACUGCCCUACGGGUUGUAAACUUCUUUUAUAAAGGAAUAAAGUGAGGCACGUGUGCCUUUUUGUAUGUACUUUAUGAAUAAGGAUCGGCUAACUCCGUGCCAGCAGCCGCGGUAAUACGGAGGAUCCAAGCGUUAUCCGGAUUUAUUGGGUUUAAAGGGUGCGUAGGCGGAUUGAUAAGUUAGAGGUGAAAUGUCCGAGCUUAACUCGGGAACUGCCUCUAAUACUGUUGAUCUAGAGAGUAGAUGCGGUAGGCGGAAUGUAUGGUGUAGCGGUGAAAUGCUUAGAGAUCAUACAGAACACCGAUUGCGAAGGCAGCUCACUGGACUGCAACUGACACUGAGGCUCGAAAGUGUGGGUAUCAAACAGGAUUAGAUACCCGGGUAGUC
rnacentral:rRNA from 1 species